rnacentral:rRNA from 1 species
GAUGAACGCUGGCGGCGUGCCUAAUACAUGCAAGUCGAGCGAACGGACGAGAAGCUUGCUUCUCUGAUGUUAGCGGCGGACGGGUGAGUAACACGUAGAUAACCUACCUAUAAGACUGGGAUAACUUCGGGAAACCGGAGCUAAUACCGGAUAAUAUUUUGAACCGCAUGGUUCAAAAGUGAAAGACGGUCUUGCUGUCACUUAUAGAUGGAUCCGCGCUGCAUUAGCUAGUUGGUAAGGUAACGGCUUACCAAGGCAACGAUGCAUAGCCGACCUGAGAGGGUGAUCGGCCACACUGGAACUGAGACACGGUCCAGACUCCUACGGGAGGCAGCAGUAGGGAAUCUUCCGCAAUGGGCGAAAGCCUGACGGAGCAACGCCGCGUGAGUGAUGAAGGUCUUCGGAUCGUAAAACUCUGUUAUUAGGGAAGAACAUAUGUGUAAGUAACUGUGCACAUCUUGACGGUACCUAAUCAGAAAGCCACGGCUAACUACGUGCCAGCAGCCGCGGUAAUACGUAGGUGGCAAGCGUUAUCCGGAAUUAUUGGGCGUAAAGCGCGCGUAGGCGGUUUUUUAAGUCUGAUGUGAAAGCCCACGGCUCAACCGUGGAGGGUCAUUGGAAACUGGAAAACUUGAGUGCAGAAGAGGAAAGUGGAAUUCCAUGUGUAGCGGUGAAAUGCGCAGAGAUAUGGAGGAACACCAGUGGCGAAGGCGACUUUCUGGUCUGUAACUGACGCUGAUGUGCGAAAGCGUGGGGAUCGAACAGGAUUAGAUACCCUGGUAGUCCACGCCGUAAACGAUGAGUGCUAAGUGUUAGGGGGUUUCCGCCCCUUAGUGCUGCAGCUAACGCAUUAAGCACUCCGCCUGGGGAGUACGACCGCAAGGUUGAAACUCAAAGGAAUUGACGGGGACCCGCACAAGCGGUGGAGCAUGUGGUUUAAUUCGAAGCAACGCGAAGAACCUUACCAAAUCUUGACAUCCUUUGACAACUCUAGAGAUAGAGCCUUCCCCUUCGGGGGACAAAGUGACAGGUGGUGCAUGGUUGUCGUCAGCUCGUGUCGUGAGAUGUUGGGUUAAGUCCCGCAACGAGCGCAACCCUUAAGCUUAGUUGCCAUCAUUAAGUUGGGCACUCUAAGUUGACUGCCGGUGACAAACCGGAGGAAGGUGGGGAUGACGUCAAAUCAUCAUGCCCCUUAUGAUUUGGGCUACACACGUGCUACAAUGGACAAUACAAAGGGCAGCGAAACCGCGAGGUCAAGCAAAUCCCAUAAAGUUGUUCUCAGUUCGGAUUGUAGUCUGCAACUCGACUACAUGAAGCUGGAAUCGCUAGUAAUCGUAGAUCAGCAUGCUACGGUGAAUACGUUCCCGGGUCU